rnacentral:rRNA from 1 species
GGGGGGGGGGGGCAAGCGUUGUUCGGGAAUUACUGGGCGUAAAGGGCGCGUAGGCGGUCCCGCAAGUCCUUCGUGAAAUCCCACAGCUCAACUGUGGAACUGCGAGGGAAACUGCAGGACUUGAGUCCGGGAGAGGAGAGUGGAAUUCCCAGUGUAGCGGUGAAAUGCGUAGAUAUUGGGAGGAACACCGGUGGCGAAGGCGGCUCUCUGGACCGGUACUGACGCUGAGGCGCGAAAGCUAGGGGAGCAAACGGGAUUAGAUACCCCGGUAGUCCUAGCCUUAAACGAUGAGCACUUGGUGUGGCGGGUAUCGACCCCUGCCGUGCCGAAGCUAACGCAUUAAGUGCUCCGCCUGGGGAGUACGGUCGCAAAGGCUG